rnacentral:rRNA from 1 species
AUUGAACGCUGGCGGCGUGCCUAAUACAUGCAAGUCGAACGGAGUGGCGCACGGGUGCGUAAUGUAUAGCUAAUCUGCCCUACACUAGAGGACAACAGUUGGAAACGACUGCUCAUACUCUAUCGUGUAGGAUGAGGCUAUAUGGUAUCAGCUAGUUGGUGAGGUAAUGGCUCACCAAGGCUAUGACGCAUAACUGGUCUGAGAGGAUGAUCAGUAAAACGGGAACGGAGACACGGUCCAGACGCCUAAGGGAGGGAGCAGUAGGGAAUAGUGAUCAAUGGGGGAAACCCUGAAGCAGCAACGCCGCGUGGAGGAGGACACUUUGCGGAGAGUAAACUCCUUUUGUUAGGGAAGCGGUACCUAACGAAUAAGCACCGGCUAACUCCGUGCCAGCAGCCGCGGUAAUAC